GUACCAUCUCCAUGUUAACUUGAAUUAGUGGUGAUGUUAAUUUAUCCAUUAACCACUUUAUUGAUCUUUAUCAAAUUCAAUAUAUACUUGAACCUUGAUCUUGCCACUUGCUUCCAAACACAUUUUCAUGUUUAGGUAAUCUAACAAGCCUACAAACAUUGUUCUUUGAGAUGACACACUCAAAGUAUGACACUCAAUGUCAAAAUAAUUAUCUCUUUGAGAUGACACACUCUCCCUCCUUACUUAACCACAGAUCAAAUGAUAAUCAUAAGCUAUAAUUAUUCUCUCAUUACUGGUAACAUUUCAAAAUUUUAAAUAUAAGUUAUAAAUAUCUUUUUC
rnacentral:lncRNA from 1 species